rnacentral:rRNA from 1 species
GACGAACGCUGGCGGCGUGCUUAACACAUGCAAGUCGAACGGAAAGGCCCUGCUUUUGUGGGGUGCUCGAGUGGCGAACGGGUGAGUAACACGUGAGUAACCUGCCCUUGACUUUGGGAUAACUUCAGGAAACUGGGGCUAAUACCGGAUAGGAGCUCCUGCGGCAUGGUGGGGGUUAGAAAGUUUCGGCGGUUGGGGAUGGACUCGCGGCUUAUCAGCUUGUUGGUGGGGUAGUGGCUUACCAAGGCUUUGACGGGUAGCCGGCCUGAGAGGGUGACCGGCCACAUUGGGACUGAGAUACGGCCCAGACUCCUACGGGGGGCAGCAGUGGGGAAUAUUGCACAAUGGGCGGAAGCCUGAUGCAGCAACGCCGCGUGCGGGAUGACGGCCUUCGGGUUGUAAACCGCUUUCGCCUGUGACGAAGCGUGAGUGACGGUAAUGGGUAAAGAAGCACCGGCUACCUACGUG